GACGAACGCUGGCGGCGUGCCUAAUACAUGCAAGUCGAACGCACAGUUUAUACCGUAGCUUGCUACACCAUAGACUGUGAGUUGCGAACGGGUGAGUAACGCGUAGGUAACCUGCCUGGUAGCGGGGGAUAACUAUUGGAAACGAUAGCUAAUACCGCAUAAUAUUAAUUAUUGCAUGAUAAUUAAUUGAAAGGUGCAAUUGCACCACUACCAGAUGGACCUGCGUUGUAUUAGCUAGUAGGUGAGGUAACGGCUCACCUAGGCGACGAUACAUAGCCGACCUGAGAGGGUGAUCGGCCACACUGGGACUGAGACACGGCCCAGACUCCUACGGGAGGCAGCAGUAGGGAAUCUUCGGCAAUGGACGAAAGUCUGACCGAGCAACGCCGCGUGAGUGAAGAAGGGUUUCGGAUCGUAAAGCUCUGUUGUAAGAGAAGAACGGGUGUGAGAGUGGAAAGUUCACACUGUGACGGUAUCUUACCAGAAAGGGACGGCUGACUACGUG
rnacentral:rRNA from 1 species